ACGCUGAAGAGAGGAGCUUGCUCUUCUUGGAUGAGUUGCGAACGGGUGAGUAACGCGUAGGUAACCUGCCUUGUAGCGGGGGAUAACUAUUGGAAACGAUAGCUAAUACCGCAUAACAAUGGAUGACACAUGUCAUUUAUUUGAAAGGGGCAAUUGCUCCACUACAAGAUGGACCUGCGUUGUAUUAGCUAGUAGGUGAGGUAACGGCUCACCUAGGCGACGAUACAUAGCCGACCUGAGAGGGUGAUCGGCCACACUGGGACUGAGACACGGCCCAGACUCCUACGGGAGGCAGCAGUAGGGAAUCUUCGGCAAUGGGGGCAACCCUGACCGAGCAACGCCGCGUGAGUGAAGAAGGUUUUCGGAUCGUAAAGCUCUGUUGUAAGUCAAGAACGAGUGUGAGAGUGGAAAGUUCACACUGUGACGGUAGCUUACCAGAAAGGGACGGCUAACUACGUGCCAGCAGCCGCGGUAAUACGUAGGUCCCGAGCGUUGUCCGGAUUUAUUGGGCGUAAAGCGAGCGCAGGCGGUUUGAUAAGUCUGAAGUUAAAGGCUGUGGCUCAACCAUAGUUCGCUUUGGAAACUGUCAAACUUGAGUGCAGAAGGGGAGAGUGGAAUUCCAUGUGUAGCGGUGAAAUGCGUAGAUAUAUGGAGGAACACCGGUGGCGAAAGCGGCUCUCUGGUCUGUAACUGACGCUGAGGCUCGAAAGCGUGGGGAGCGAACAGGAUUAGAUACCCUGGUAGUCCACGCCGUAAACGAUGAGUGCUAGGUGUUGGAUCCUUUCCGGGAUUCAGUGCCGCAGCUAACGCAUUAAGCACUCCGCCUGGGGAGUACGACCGCAAGGUUGAAACUCAAAGGAAUUGACGGGGGCCCGCACAAGCGGUGGAGCAUGUGGUUUAAUUCGAAGCAACGCGAAGAACCUUACCAGGUCUUGACAUCCCGAUGCUAUUUCUAGAGAUAGAAAGUUACUUCGGUACAUCGGUGACAGGUGGUGCAUGGUUGUCGUCAGCUCGUGUCGUGAGAUGUUGGGUUAAGUCCCGCAACGAGCGCAACCCCUAUUGUUAGUUGCCAUCAUUCAGUUGGGCACUCUAGCGAGACUGCCGGUAAUAAACCGGAGGAAGGUGGGGAUGACGUCAAAUCAUCAUGCCCCUUAUGACCUGGGCUACACACGUGCUACAAUGGUUGGUACAACGAGUUGCGAGUCGGUGACGGCAAGCUAAUCUCUUAAAGCCAAUCUCAGUUCGGAUUGUAGGCUGCAACUCGCCUACAUGAAGUCGGAAUCGCUAGUAAUCGCGGAUCAGCACGCCGCGGUGAAUACGUUCCCGGGCCUUGUACACACCGCCCGUCACACCACGAGAGUUUGUAACACCCGAAGUCGGUGAGGUAACCUUUNNAGCCAGC
rnacentral:rRNA from 2 species